AUAUUUGUACCUUGAACUGUAUACCAAUAGUAUUUCUUUGGACUCUUUCUCCAGUCAUUGAGAGAUACGCUGCACUCAGCUCCACGCUCCCUUACUUUCCCUUAAAUUAUCUCAAACUUCUCAUCUUUUCUUUAAUUUUUCAAUUACAAGAUCUGAACUCUUUAAAAGCAUGGUAUUAGAUUUACCAAAAACUUUGUGUUAACUAUUGAUGAUGGAGAAGGUUACCAAAUCAAAGCUGAGAAGAUCCGUGCUGGUUCUAUGUGACUUUUGCAACUCAAAGCCAGCGGUUUUGUACUGCAUAGCUGACUCUGCAAAGCUCUGCUUGUUCUGUGACCAACAAGUCCACUCUGCCAAUGCUCUAUCUCUCAAGCAUGCUCGUUCACAGAUCUGCGACGGUUGCAAAACCAAACCAGCUUCUUUUCUUUGCUCAAAUGAUAAUCUUAUACUCUGCCAAGACUGUGAUUGGAAUUCACAUAGCAGCAACUGUUCUGUUUCAGCUCUGCACGAGCGUUCUCCAGUUGAAAGGUUCUCAGGUUGUCCUUCAGUGACUGAAUUAGCUUCUCUUUUGGGAUUGGAUUUAAAACCAAAAGAUUUGAUGAAUUUGGAUCCAGGGUUUUCUUUAUACGAGCAAGAACUGAUGAAUCUGGAAGAUUUUAUGGUCCCAAAUGAGAAUUCCUCUGUUUCCUCUGCUUUGCUAAGCUCUGUUAAGCUUAACCAUGAGGUGUAUAGACAACUGGUUGAGAUGGGGAAGAGAGAUUUGGUGAGAGUAAGUGGUGAUGGAGCUGAAUUGGGGCCAGGGACGCCGCCUAGUAGAAGUGCUGAGAAGGGGAAUUUAGGGAGUUUUGAGGUGGAAAAUGGGGAUGAUGAAGAACUGCUGCACCAGCAAACCUCGUUUACCUCUUUGCUAAUGCUGCAAAACAAUGUGGCCUUAAGAAAAACUGAUUAUGUCGCUGAAGGAGAGCUUAUCUGGGACUAUAACUCUUCUUAUCAGGCUUCCAAGAUAUGGGAUUUUCAAUCAGGAAGGUUAAGAGACUGUGAAGAAUCCCGUCCAGAAGAUGCAGGUUGCAAGAAUAGCAUAAGCAGUCGCGGUUUUGUGAUUAAGAACUAUGAUGAGUUUGCUAAGGAAGGUUCCCUGUCAGAAACUAAAGUCUUUCAAGACAUGGACCAGAUGAGCCUCUCCAUGAAAUGUGAGGAUACCUUGUCCAGGAGUAGCCGCUGCAAUCAACCAUUCUCAAGCUACACAGCAACAACUGAAGAAAGUAACCAUGUGCCAGUAGUUGGAUCAUCAUCAGAUUCCAAGGUGGUUGAACCCCUAGAACGCGAUAGUACUAGAUAUGUCCAGGUCAUGAAACAUCCGGUUCUGGCCGGUGGUGAGUCUAUGAAUGAGGAAAAAGCUAAGGUUGACAUGGAACUGCUGGCACAAAACAGAGGCAAUGCCAUGUUACGGUACCAGGAGAAGAAGAAACAUAGGAGAUAUGACAAGCACAUACGCUAUGAGUCAAGGAAGGCCAGGGCUGAUACUAGAAAGAGAUUCAAAGGUCGCUUUGUGAAGGCAAGUGAAGCUCCAGAUGUUAAGGUGUAAGGGCUGUUUUUUCCUUUUUGGAUAACAUGUGUUCCUUCUGAAGUCCCUGUCUGUAAAUAUUUCUUCCCCUAGUUUGUCUACAGGAUUAUUGUAGCUCCCCUAUGUCAUAAAGGAGAAAAAUCUUUGCCCCAACUUUUGCAUUUCGUUAGCUGUAAGUUAAGAUAUAUGUAUGCAAUUACACAGUUUUUGACUGCAUGCUCCUAUAUUCGAUGGAUAGUUAUUAGCUAUAAAUGCGCAGGAGUAAGUACUGGUAAUAAAUGAAACCAUACAACUAUUAAAUUAUUUGUAUUUUGAAUACAAAUAUAAGAAGAGUCUCUUCAUCUAUUUUCACUUGGUCUUAGAUUGAAUGUUCGUCUUAAAAAUUCAACAUGAUAUCAAAGCAAAUCUUGUGUCUAUUGGUUGGUCACUCACAGAUCUUCUUCCAUGAUUUGUACCAUAUGAGUAUCCAAAUGGUGAUAAAAUGAAUAUUUAAAGAUAUCUUAAUUAUAUAAAUAUAACAAGAAUUGAUUCACGUAUUGUUAAUUAAUUUUAAGUUAGAUGUUAGUUGUUAAUUGAUUUUAGGUUGGAUGUGAGUUUUAAAAAUUCAAAAAGGGCUACUUGCCUAGGCUUUCUAUAUUUAGUAUUUUGGCAAGCUGAAAGUUUAUAAUCACUAUAAAUAUAGCUUCUGCAGAACAAAUAUGCUUUAACAAAUAUGCACUUAAAGACUUGAAACAUUACUUUUAACCAUUUUGGUUCAGCAACCAAUGAAGAGUCUUUCCAUGAUUCGAGUCUUUCAAGUGCAAUAAUGGUGCUGAUGGAAUUGAGUUACUUGCACAUUUCUACAAUCUUGUAAAGAGUUGAAGAGCUCAUUUAGGAACCAGUGAAUCUAAUGUGCUAAUUCCCAACGGUUGCUCUUGGAAAAACUUUCCGAGCCCUCAAAAUCCCAGAAGUAAACGCAAAUCACACAAAUGUACCCCUGCAACAUUGGCUUUCACCGUUUCUGGUAUUGCUGGGAUCUGCAGUUUAUCUCGUGGUGGAAUCAACACCAGAUCAAUCCGAGUUUUAUGUAAACCCUAUCUACGCAAUUAUAAUUCUAUAUGUCAACCUCACUAAUCUUAUCUCAAAUAAUUCUACAAAGGGCUUUGUCAACAGGUAACUUUCACCUGUAUCAAAGUUGUUUUCUGAUUUAAUUGCUCGCUGCCCACAUCCCUAUGUCAUAGGAGAGUGAUUUGAAUGUAGCCCAUUUCGACCACUGCAGAGUAGAUUCGAAGAAUUAAAUAAAAAAGGGUGAUUUGGCAAAUCAACGGUUGCAAUUUCUCAGGAAAAGGCGUAGUUAAGGAAAGGGCAAACCAAACAUGUAACACCAGUUGUCAUUUGGUCCAGCCAUCAAGCUUGGUCCCCACGUGCACAGUUCAAACAGCCAUAAUUUAAACUCAUCGACACCAACUACCAAACUCCUUCAAGAAAAGUCCAGACUUGACCUUCAAUGGAAACCCAUCACAAUCCUUGUAUUGCAGGAUAUUUUCUUAUAGAAAGGAGAAAUUUUAUAUUAUAAUUAAGAAAAAAUCAAGUCAACAGAAUGUAACAAA